UGUACCUAUACUCAUGAACUCCACUGAGGGCAAGUAGUCGGGGCAGUUUACAAAAGGACACAUGAGCUGCAUGGGUUGGAUGAAGCUCAGUCCCUGUUUCCCCCUAACUCUGAAGCAUUGUGCAGCAGAGUCACAUUGUUUAGCAUGACUUAGAUGAGUCUUCUCAGGCUUCAUGUGGCAAUACAAACUAAAGAGAUUUGCCUCUCACAAAGUAGAGGAUUCCUGAGACCCAGCGCCUUACCCUGCGACACCAGUUUCAUUUGGAGCUGUGACGAUCACCUUCUCUGACUACUUUCCCUUCUACUCAGCAGUUUAAACCUCAGACUCUUUGCUCCAU